rnacentral:lncRNA from 1 species
UGGUAAUUACACUGCAGAUACAGCUGAAUUGAGACAAUCUUCUUGGGAAGAGGGAACGUGUUCUGGGCAGCACAGUCUUAGAAAGAGAAUACAUCUGAUCAUGGUAGAUAAUAAAUUGGAGAGGAUCAUAUGAGGUACUGCAGCAAUGAGAUAGUGGAUAUCAAUCCAUAAUCCAAGUCUAUGCCACCAACUGGCUAUAGUCACCCAAAGGGUGGAGAUCGGAGGAGGCAUUGUGGU